rnacentral:rRNA from 1 species
AUUGAACGCUGGCGGAAUGCUUUACACAUGCAAGUCGAACGGCAGCACGGACUUCGGUCUGGUGGCGAGUGGCGAACGGGUGAGUAAUGUAUCGGAGCGUGCCCAGGCGUGGGGGAUAACGUGGUGAAAAUUACGCUAAUACCGCAUACGAACUAUGGAUGAAAGCGGGGGAUCGCAAGGCCUCGCGCGAAUGGGCCGGCCGAUAGCGGAUUAGGUAGUUGGUGGGGUAACGGCCCACCAAGCCAACGAUCUGUAGCUGAUCUGAGAGGACGACCAGCCACACUGGAACUGAGACACGGUCCAGACUCCUACGGGAGGCAGCAGUGGGGAAUUUUGGACAAUGGGCGAAAGCCUGAUCCAGCCACUCCGCGUGCAGGAUGAAGGCCCUCGGGUUGUAAACUGCUUUUGUACAGAACGAAAAGGUUUCUACUAAUACUAGGAGCUCAUGACGGUACUGUAAGAAUAAGCACCGGCUAACUACGUGCCAGCCGCCGCAGUAA